AUUGAACGCUGGCGGCAGGCCUAACACAUGCAAGUCGAACGAGUGGCGGACGGGUGAGUAAUGUCUGGGAAACUGCCUGAUGGAGGGGGCUCACUACUGGAAACGGUAGCUAAUACCGCAUACCCUCAGAUGUGCCCAGAUGGGAUUAGCUAGUUGGGGGGGUAACGGCUCACCAAGGCGACGAUCCCUCGCUGGUCUGAGAGGUUGACCAGCCCCACUGGAACUGAGACACGGUCCAGACUCCUACGGGAGGCAGGAGGGGGGAAUAUUGCACAAUGGGCGAAAGCCGGAUACAGCCAUGCCGCGUGGAGGAAGAAGGCCUUCGGGUUGUAAAGUACUUUAAGCGGGGAGGCGUUACCCGCAGAAGAAGCACCGGCUAACUCCGUGCCAGCAGCCGCGGUAAUAC
rnacentral:rRNA from 1 species